CACGCCGUAAACGAUGUCGACUAGCCGUUGGGCUCCUUGAGAGCUUAGUGGCGCAGCUAACGCAUUAAGUCGACCGCCUGGGGAGUACGGCCGCAAGGUUAAAACUCAAAUGAAUUGACGGGGGCCCGCACAAGCGGUGGAGCAUGUGGUUUAAUUCGAAGCAACGCGAAGAACCUUACCAGGCCUUGACAUGCAGAGAACUUUCCAGAGAUGGAUUGGUGCCUUCGGGAACUCUGACACAGGUGC
rnacentral:rRNA from 1 species